GUUCAAGAUGAUGGCAACAGGUCUCAGAAGGACCCCCCCGCCCCCGCCCCGUGCCUUUAGCCUUCCUCUCCUGGACCAGCAAGCUGUGGUAAUCUGCUCCAGCACACACUAUCUGGUUUUCCAAAGUUCCCUGGCUAUGAGUGAUUCAUCUACCUCUUCAUCUUCAAUGGUUAAAAUGUUUAUGUCAGAUCUUCCUUAACAAUAGAGCCCUUAAUACAGGCUGGAAACUGCAUUCUCCCUCCUUAGGAGCGAGAACACACAAACAAGAAAAUGUUAGCCAGAGACUAAGCAACUGUCCAGCUUCAUACAGCACAUGUAAUUAGUCCUUCUGCAUGCUGGGAAGUGGAAGGAAGGAUUGGGACUUGGAUGCAGGGAACAUAACUGUCGAGCCCACCUCUUUAAUCUCUGUACAUUCUGCUCCCUUCAUAUAAACCUGCUUGGAGGAGGUAAGGAUCUGUUAACUGGGAGACUCACUAGUGUAGCGGUUCUCAACCUUCCUAAGGUUGUGACCCUUUGACACAGUUCCUCGUGCUGUGAUGACCCCCCCACCCCCACAACCCCAACCAUAACAUUAUUAUUUUGGGGGGGGGUCUUUUUUUCAGAGCUGGGGACCGAACCCAGGGCCUUGCGCUUGCUAGGCAAGCGCUCUACCACUGAGCUAAAUCCCCAACCCUGCUACUUCAUAACCUUAAUUUCGCUACUGUUAUGAAUCGUAAUGUAGAUAUGUUUGUUUUCUGAUGGUUUUAGGGGACCCCUGUGAAAGGGGCAAUUAUCCCCCACAAAGGGUUCGAGACUCACGGGUUGAGGACUGUUGCACUAGUGGCUUGUCUUGGUCCAGGACACUCCAAGUCGAAGGGAUAACCUCAUUCUGCAGUGACUCACACGCAGCAACUGUCCCGAAGUCCUCGAAAUGAGAGGUCACCUUGAUCCACCUGUGACUAGCCCUGUACCCACAAGGAAUGCCUUUAAACUCCUGCUUUCCUAUUUAUACCAAGCCAGAGCUGGGCAGGAAACAGAUGGGACACUCAAAUUGGGUAAUUUGAAGAGAGUUGAAUAAAGAGGCCAUUUGCAAAGGUGUGGGCAGGAUGUGGGGAAACCACAGCUACUUGACCACCCCUAGGCCUGCAGGAGGAAGGGGAGGUGCGGUCAUCACAACCUACAGAGUGUGUCCUGCAUGUCUAGGGCCACCUCACAGCAGCUUUGACCACAAGCCACAGAGGCAGCCUUAGGCUGUGACACCUUAGUUCUGCUUGUGACCUUUUGUCUUUACCCAGGAUUCCCCUCUGAGCACAUUUGUUUGCAACUAGAGUCUCCUGUAGCUGUCGCCAUAGUCACAGUACAGCUGAAGAUAAUCUUGAACUCCUGGUCCCCCGUCUCCAUGGAGCAAGUGCUGGGAUUCCAGUUGUCAUGUGUCAGCCAUUCCUGACUACCUGGGCUCAAGUGCCUGUCUCUUAGGAGAGCCAUCCAUCCCCUUCGGGUUGGUGUGAUUACUCCAGCGGACUGCGUACUGCCUCAGGGAGGGACUUUGGACUCUCUGGGAGGUGGUUUUGUGUGGCCAUAGCAGCAGCUCGUCAAACAGAGAGGAGUGGACACUUUCUAAAAACCUGAAGGGUCGUUUAUUUUGAACACCACGGAGUUUUCUCUUUUCAAAUUUAGCUGCUUCUGCCCUCCUGCAACAGCUGAGGAAUUCUUAUUUACUUUUUUUUUUUUUUUCUUUUUUUCGGAGCUGGGGACCGAACCCAGGGCCUUGUGCUUGCUAAGCAAACGCUCUACCACUGAGCUCCUACUUUUAAAAUACUAAUAACUAUUAUCAUCUGGAGACAGGACCUCAUCUAGCCCCAGCCGAUCUGUAUGUAGUUCACGCUGUAACAGAGAUUGACCCUGACUUCUGACCCUUCCGCUUUCUGACACCGCUGGAACUCCAGGUGUGCACUGUCAUGAUUGACUAUUGUUCUGUUUCCACACAGAGGACUGAACCUAGGACCCCAAGCUUAGAACUACAUCCCAUUUCUACCUUUUGGAGACAAGAUUUCUCCGAGUAGCCAGCCCCGACUGUCCUGGAACUCACUCUGUAGCCUCAAGUGCACAGAGCUCUGCCUGCCUCUGCAGGGAUUAAAGGCGUGCCCAACGCCUCCAGUCUCCUCGUUUUGUUUUGUUUUUUUUUUUUUUUUUUUUUUUUUUGGUUGGUUUGUUUGGUUUGUUUUGUUUUUGUUUUUGUUUUUAACUAGUCGUUUUGAAACUGUCUUGCGAAGUUGAGCUGCCCAGUUUUGAGCCCUUUGUUGCCCAUAUAGACUUUAAUUUUCCCACCUGACUUUAGCCUCCAGCAUAGCUGAGAUCACAGGCCUGUCCACAAUGCCCAGCAUCUGAGGAAUUUUGUUUAUUUUGCUUCUUUAACAGUCACAGAGAAACUCUCAGCCACAUUGUUGGAAACGGACAGUCUGAGGCUCCUGGGUGCGGCCUGCAGGGACCUCCUGACACCUAAACUCCAGGGUGGCAUCAGGAGAAUCAGGAAUCAGGAGACAGCUAGACUAAAUUAGCUCUUACUCCUUUCCCUCCAAACUUCAAAACCUAAAUGCUUUCUUGCUGAAUCCUAUAUAAAUAAAGGGGAAGACUGAAGCAGAAAGACGCCUGCGUCUCUGAGAAGGCACGCUAUUGUAAUAUGUAGUUUUCUGCCUCUCUUCAGUUAAGGCCACUCACAUUCCAGCUCCAAAAUGAAAGUGACCCCAAAUGGCCACAGUACAGAUCCAUGCACAAUUUUCCCAUCUCCUAAAGAUGAAAUUACAAAUGUUUUCAAAUAAGUACUUCCCGCAGCAAAAAUGUCUUUAUCUAAAAGGACAUCAUACUUGUCCCAAUGCCCAUGACAAGGGCCUUUGGCCAAACGAAUGGGAAAUCAUUGGCCUGAUUAACAUCCUGUGAUCUUAGAUCUAAAAAUGACCCGAAACCGGGUAAACAAGGUGACGUCAGUGUGCUGGGCAGGCAGCGGUUCUCUACUGCCACCUGGAGGGCAGUGUGGACAAUGUCGCAUGAAUUGUUUGCUAGUUUAAAAAAAAACGUUUGAGCUCAAUUGUGUGGGAACAGGGUCUUCACUGAGGGGCAAUCUUGAUUAAAAAAAAAAUCUUUAAAAUUCUCAGAUUCUACAUGGAGCUAGUGGUCUGGCUUGGCUCGUGACAAAGGCCACCCAAUUUUCUGUGCAGCCUCAGGGCUUCCCUGGGACUUUGGCAGGGGAGGGAGUAUCGUGGUUCUAAUUUAUUUUCCUGUCAGGCAGAUGUGAGAAAGAGGCUGCCCAGCUUUUUGCAUUACGCAACUGGCAUGCUGGGAGAUGCCCCAGAAACGUGCUGAGGAUGGGAAAAGGUCAGAGACACAUUACUAUUUCCCUCAAGAAGACCAUCCACAAAACGAAGAUGAAGAGUGAAUGUUAACUUAAUAAAAACAAAAACAAGACGGGCCUUACUUUCGGAUUAGUCUGUUUGCUUGGAGUGUUACCAACCACCUCAAAGUCUCAGUGGCUGACGACAAGAAGCAUCUAUGCUUUCCCUGCCGGUGAGCAUGAAGGUCUGCGGUGACCUGACACGGGCAGGACUCCAAGCUCACGGUCAUACGCAGGCCGAUUCCAAGGGGUUCCAUUCUUGCAAAGGAACCAGAAAGAAAGUUUGUCCCAUCUCUGAGGGUUUGGUGCUCAAGGCCCAGGUCAGCCCAGGCUAAAACAGAAGACACUCCUAGCCUCAGAUCAUCCAGUGUGUGUGUGGGCAAGCGAAAUACACAAUCUUCUACUGAGGAGGCCCUUCGAAAGCCGGUCAAGUGUGGCCAUGCAUAAUUCUGCGAGGAGAGAGGAAUAACAUAGUAAAUGUAACAGAAUGAAAGGCUUUAUCCUUGCCUCUCUCCCUUCUUUCCUGCCUUCCUUUGGUUUUGAGACAGUUUUACUCUGUUGGACCGGGCUAAGCUGGAACUCAUUAUGUAGCCCAGGUUGGCCUUGAACACCUAUCUCAGUCUCCUCUCCUGAGGACUGGGAUUGCAGGCUCCAGUGACCACACUCAGCUCUUUUACUUUCAUUUUUUUUCAAAUAAGAACUUUAAGGCAGGCAUGAUAGUAUGUCUGGCCACUUAGGCUAGCCUGAGCAACUUGGUGAGCUCCUCUUUCAGAGUGAAACUCAUAGGGCUGUGACGUCAGUUGGUGACAGACUGUGUGUGUGACAUGCUCUUGUCCCCAAGUUCCUUCCCUGGCACCCCAAGGAAGCAACUUUAAUCCCCACGGUAUAAAAUGUUUUCCCUCCAGGCUCAAAUGGUUCAUUUGAUUAUGUACUUGCCUCGCUGUUUUCAUGGGAUCUCCAGAUACGGGUUUGUCGGCCUCUAAGGUAAGCCUCUAAUCUCAAGUCCCAUGUAGGACCACCAUGGAGUAUGAUGGCCAGAGUUAACAGAGGAGCCACCAUGUGUGACAGCUCCAUCUGGAUCUCAUAGAUAGCAUGAGAGUGAAGGGCUUAGUGAAUGGAAGAGCUCAGAAGGGACCAGUGUCCCGUUUCCCACAGCCCUGCCUUCAGAGGUGGAGAUGACUCAGGAACUUCGAGGAAGCCAGAAGGAAGCAGUAGGGGAUUGUGGCUGCUUGUGCCAACUUCAUGUUAAUAGGAAGGCAGGGACAGUUGGCAGCACAUCAGACCGGGUACGGUGGGGCACACCUGUGCGCCCAGAAUUCAGGAGGCUGAGCAGGAGGAUUGCGAGGUGGAGGCUUGCCUGGACCAAUAGAAAGUCUCUAUGUCAAACAAGUAAAAGAAGAUAAUUGGCAAUAUUUUAAAUGUUGUUUGCCAGUUUUUAUAUUUGAUUGUUUCUGUUUUAUCUCAUUUUUUGGAGACUGGGUUUGUUUGCCAGGGUUUUUUUGUUCUGUUUUGUUUUGUUUUGUUUUUGAGACAGGGUUUCUCUGUGUAGCCUUAGCUGUCCUAGAAUUAUCUCUUUAAAGGAUCGGGUUGGCCUUGAACUCACUGAGAUCAGCCUGCCUCUGCCUCCCAGCGCUGGGAUUAAGGCGUGUGCCACCACCUCCGGCAUUGUUUGACAGUUGUUUGUUUGUUUGGGAGGGUUUGUUUGUUUGUUUUCAUUUCCUCCUCCUUCCUCACUAGAGGUCUGAAGGUCAGGCAAGGAGACUGGAGGAUCUGAGGGUUAAACACAGGUCAUGGGAGAUUCAACUUGCAAAGCACAAGGACUCUAACAUGAGGCAGUUUCUUAUUUCAAGAUAUACCUUCCCUCUUUGGAACUCUUCAGUGACUUUUCAUGGUCCUCAAAACAGUUAUCUUCUCCAAGAGACCUCUUGAGUCCCUUCCUCAAAGCUCACUCCUUUUCCUCAGAUAAAUCCAGAAUAAAUUUAGAGCCCUUUGUUCACCCAUUUGGCGACUGAACAGAUAUUCCCCAUGCCAAGCCCUUGCCAAGCCUUUGCCAAGCCCGAGGAGGAACACAUACCUCCUGAAGCAGUGUCUGAUGGAGAAUUCAGGCAGGAGGAGAGAUACCAAUUAAAAACUCCAAACAGGGGCUGGAGAGGUGGCCUAGAAGUGAAGUGUGUCUAAUUGCUCUCCCAGAGGACCAGGGUUCAAUUUUAAGCACCCGUAUCAGGUAAAUCAAAGAACUCAUUGUAAUUCCAGUUUCUGCAAGAACAAGUUACACACAAACAAAUGCAAAAUAUAGAUAUGCACACAUACGGAAAUAAAUCUAAAGCAACCUCCAAGCAGGGCUCUGGGUUUGCUGUGUAAAUUGGGUGUGGUGAUGUCACCUAUAAUUCCAGCCAUUGAAAUAAGGAGACUAAAGGGUCAGAAAUCUGAUCAGUCAUCCUCAGCUAACCGUGAGAGUGAGGACAGCCUGUCUGAGCCACACGAGGCCAUGUUCAUAUUUAAAAGCACAGGAACCCUGUCUUGCUCACUGGUAUAUCUCUGUAUGUCUGUAAUCAUCUGGAGCCUGGCAUACAAGAUUAAAUGGCUGCGAAGAGUGGUGGUGGGCAUUUAAAUCUCAACAGACUUCCGAUACUCACCAAGGCCAAAAUCUCAGGAUUCAUUCUGUGUCCCUGGCAAGGGGGCGUGUCACUCCUUACGGAAGGUUAAACUGGAGGUCACAGCUCAGCUACUGCUGAUCCAGGCUGAACUCAUGAGUCACCAGCUCCUCCCGGAAGUCACCUGCUUCCUCCAAGAGAAUAGAAAGGAGGAUGAGAUAGACCAUGGCUGUGUGGUAUGGGUGCCCAGUAAACACCGCCAUUCUUUUCUGAAGUCACGGUUACUGGCUUGAGCUAUGACCCCUUGCACCAUGUGCUCAAUGACAUAAGACCCUGACCUAUGUCUGGUGUAACGGCUGCAUUCUUAGGGUCACAGCCUGUGUCCCAACAAGCCAACUUCAGAUACCCAUCCUCCACAAACUAAUUUAAACAGCCAAAUUAAUAGUUUUAAAAAAAAAAACAGGAAAGAAAUCUAUUCUAGGUGGCCACAUUAGGAAAGAAAACAAACAGAUCCAGUGACCUUCCUCGAGUCUAUCUUUGGAGUCCUGAAGUGAGGUUGAAGUUCAAGUAGACAGUCAAUGUUAUACACACCUAACUAGUCCUGGUUAAGGUUUGGUCCUGCCCACCACUGACCCAUCAUCUCUAAGUUGUAAAUCCCUUUGUGUCCUCUCUAACUCGUCCAAGCUUUGGGUAUUUUCUUUCCCCAUCGUGGGACUCUUGAGGAAUUACAGUUUCUUGGGGUUCACUGCUUUAACUAUCUGAUAGACAAACGGAAGGAAGGAAGGACACACGUAUCUCUUUAAAAUGCCUUCUUCUCCGAGGGUCAGUUACAUCCUGAGGUGGUUCAUUCAAAAUGCCUGCUGUAGAGGUGGGAAUCAGUUCUGUGGGGGCCAUGUGUGGGCCUGAAACAUUUUUGUGCAAAGGAAGAAGACAUUAGGCAUGGCGGGGAGGGGGGGGGACAGGGGGACACUCUCGUCCUGACUGCCAGUGAAUGGGUUUGGAACCAUUAGCAUAGACCCACUGCCAAAUGCUGUUAGAGUCUCGUUGAGUGACUUGGACUUUAGCCUGUGUGCUGGGGCACGGUGGGGUCAGACUGGAGGUUUUGGCAGUAGUGUGAGGGCGGAUUGAAGGAGAAGCCUCGGAUUGGAAGUUAGAAGAUGUGUUAGGAUUCAGUCCAGGUAGGGUUGCCCUGGAGAUGGGGUGGGGGGUAGGGUGGGGGAUGGGGGUGGGGGUGGGGGAAUUGAGGAGCUUUAGAAGCAUAGCUACCAGAAGGGUUCAGAUGUCACUACAUAGGGGAAGGGGAGGCAGGCAGGUGAGUGGGGGCCCAGAGUCCUCAGCGGUGCUUUGUAACUCUGUCAGAGGCACUUAAAUGACCAUGCGUGCAGAAGGCGGGCAUCCUAAACCCUCGCCUGCCAGGCCUGCGGAGGAAACACAAAAUGGACUCCAGCGGUAUUUCACAAAUCGCUUUAAGUCAUUUUUAUAGUGGAAAAAAUCCAUUCAUCCUUUUUUUAUCAGUUAAUUCAGUUACUACUUACACCAUUCACUAUUUAAUAUGACUGUUGGUUCAUUUUCAGACAGGGUUCAAACUCAAUAUAUAGCUGAGGUUAACCUUGAACUCCUGAUCCUCCUGCCUCCACAUCCUAAGUACUGGGGUUUCAGGCAUGCCCUGCAGUGUGCUGUUGGCCUUAGUAUUGCUUUGUUCUGUGUUUUUACAUUUUUAUUUGUUAGUUCACAGAUGGCAGGCACACCCCGCGGCAUGUAUGUGGAGGUCAGUGGACAACUUACUGGAGUUUGCUCUCUCCCACCUUGUGGAUACCAGUGCUCAGAUUCAGGCCAUCGGACUUGGGGCAAGCACCUUACCUGCUGAGCCAUCUCACUGGCCCCUUAAUACUGCCCUUAAAUGAGGUCACUUUUCAAAAUCUAAAUACUUACCGUGGGCUCAUCCUCAGAACAAGCACCCCUGUGCCAGUACUGCUGAUAAAUACUGAAACAGACGCAAAGAUGAGCAUGGUUGGCUGCUCCUGUGGCGAGGAUGCCCACGAUGGCUGCUCCUGGGUCUUUGGGUGUGUGUAGGGAAUGGUUUGGAAAGCCCUUGACCUGAGUGACCACUAAGGCCAUUAAAAUUCAUGGAUUUCCUCUUGGUUUCUAUUCAGAUCGUGUCAGUAUCCAGACCCGAUGGCAAGCCUUCUCUUUGUAUCUGUUAGAAACGAAUUUUGCCGUGCAGGUUGGCCACCAAUUCAGAGAUCUGCCUGCUCUGCCUCCCGAGUACUUGGGAGUUGGUGGAAAGCGGCUCUGUCUGUAGAGAAGGGCUGACUGAUGCUUUAGAGCGACUCUCAAACCUCGUCCGAGUAGUUCCUAAUGUACAAACUGAUCCAAGGGCCCAGAAGAGUGUCAGUGGGAUGCUCAGCCCUAAACGGGCCAUUGAGGCAUCAUCACUCCCAUCCCAGCCUCACGGACCACGGCAGAAGGGUUGUGGAGUGACUGUAACAGCCAGAAGCUGGGCAGGGUCUGUGCAAAGCAGCAUCUUCUGGACAUGAUGGGACUGUCGGUACUCACACCCGCAAGACCUGUGCACGCUCAAACCAGUUAACCAUCUAAGCUGAAGGGAAGGAAUUCGUGAGCUCCACCCCUAACUGAGGAGCUACGAAUAGCCGAUGGCUUCUUUAAGGGUGUGGCUCCUGGUAGGUCAAUUUUGCUCCAACGGAUGGCCGAGAGUACGCGGGAAGCAUACUUUGGUCUAGAUGCAUUCCUUAAAGAGGACAGGAAGUUGAGGGGCAGGGAGGUGGGUGUGAAUCUCGGAGGAGAUUAGAGUGGUAGGCCAAAUAUAAUCCAAAUAUAUCGUACAAAAUUCUCAAAAACUAAUUUGAAAAAAUUAAACACACACACACCAGCGAUUAGGUGUCACAAAGCAAGUGGUCUAUGUGUGUUGUUAGAUCCAAUGGGACAGGGCAGAGCAAAUGUUACAUGUAGCCUUUAAAAACAACAGUUCUGUGCUCCUGAGAUUAGCUAAAAAUAGAAUCUUUUUAUAUUGUAAUUAAAUAGCUCCUCCAACUUACUCUUUAAUCUUCCCUGAAUAAGACUUCACGGUCGUCUUAGAAAAUUCACAGGACGGAAAUGGCCGCUACAUCAGACCCACUGUGCAAUGUAGGAUGCUCUGGCUGACCCCCUGCAUCCACUUCACACGAAUGCUCUGAGCAGUGGAGCUGUGGUCAGGGCCUAUGUGUGGCAAAGUCUUCCAACCACUUCCACCCAGAACAGUGUGCUCAGCUGGGGCACCAACCCUAAAAACUGAUUCAGACCAGAUCAUCAUGCUGGGAGCAGAAGAACUCUGGGAGCUAUGGUCUGCAUGUGUGUGUGUGUGUGUGUGUGUGUGUGUGUGUGUGUGUGUGUGUUUUGUCUAUAUGUGUGUGUAUAAUAUCUAUAUGUGUGUGAUGUGUGUCUAUAUAUAUAGCAUGUGUAUAGGAUACGUUCGAGGGGCUGGAGAGGUGGCUCAGUGGUUAAGAGCACUGACUGCUCUUCCAGAGGUCCUGAGUUCAAAUCCCAGCAACCACAUGGUGGCUCACAACUCUCUGUAGUGAGAUCUGAUGCCCUCUUCUGGUGUGUCUGAAGACAGCUACAGUGUACUUAUAUAUAAUAAAUAAAUCUUUUUUUUUUUUUUUUGGUUCUUUUUUUUCGGAGCUGGGGACCGAACCCUGGGCCUUGCGCUUCCUAGGUAAGCGCUCUACCA